GACAGAGGGUGCAAACGUUGUUCGGAAUUACUGGGCGUAAAGCGUGUGUAGGCGGUCCACUAAGUCGGGUGUGAAAGCCCUGGGCUCAACCCAGGAAGUGCACUCGAAACUGACCGGCUUGAAUAUGGAAGAGGGUCGCGGAAUUCCCGGUGUAGAGGUAGAAUUCGUAGAUAUCGGGGAGGAACACCAGUGGCGAAGGCGGCGACCUGGGCCAAUAUUGACGCUGAGGUGCGAAAGCGUGGGGAGCAAACAGG
rnacentral:rRNA from 1 species